AACGAACGCUGGCGGCAUGCCUAACACAUGCAAGUCGAACGAGACCUUCGGGUCUAGUGGCGCACGGGUGCGUAACGCGUGGGAACCUGCCCUUAGGUUCGGAAUAACUCCCCGAAAGGGGUGCUAAUACCGGAUAAUGUCUUCGGACCAAAGAUUUAUCGCCUUUGGAUGGGCCCGCGUUGGAUUAGCUAGUUGGUAGGGUAAAAGCCUACCAAGGCGACGAUCCAUAGCUGGUCUGAGAGGAUGAUCAGCCACACUGGGACUGAGACACGGACCAGACUCCUACGGGAGGCAGCAGUGGGGAAUAUUGGACACUGGGCGAAAGCCUGAUCCAGCAAUGCCGCGUGAGUGAUGAAGGCCUUAGGGUUGUAAAGCUCUUUUACACGGGAUGAUAAUGACAGUACCGGGAGAAUAAGCUCCGGCUAACUCCGUG
rnacentral:rRNA from 1 species